rnacentral:rRNA from 1 species
UACGUAGGGUGCGAGCGUUGUCCGGAAUUAUUGGGCGUAAAGAGCUCGUAGGCGGUUUGUCGCGUCGACUGUGAAAACCUACAGCUUAACUGUGGGCUUGCAGUCGAUACGGGCAGACUUGAGUUCGGUAGGGGAGACUGGAAUUCCUGGUGUAGCGGUGAAAUGCGCAGAUAUCAGGAGGAACACCGGUGGCGAAGGCGGGUCUCUGGACAGUUCCUGACGCUGAGGCACGAAGGUCAGGGGAGCAAACGGG